CUCUGCACAGGUUUUGAUAAAUCUCCCCCAAUGUGAUUGACAUCAUACCUAGAUGUUGCUAUUUACCUGCCUCCAGACAUCAAAGAUAUGCCAAGAUGACAUUUCAAUUAGCUCCUUUCUUUUAUGUUUUUAUUUUUCAGUCUAGUUGAUAUUAUAACUGUUGCUAUAUAUCUUUCUCGAUAUAAAGAUGAAUGGAAAGAGUCGAUGAAUGGAGAAACCAACAUGGACAAUCAAGUUUUAGAGAGAAACUGUAAAUAAUGGUGGCAUUUCAGGAAGAUACGGGUAACAGACAAUGAGAAGUGGUGAGGCAGAUUGUAAAAGCUAAAUCGGGAGAUUAUAAACCUACUUGAAAUCAAAAUUACUCAAUUGAUUGUGAAGAGCUGGUGUAAACUCAAGAGUGAAGGCAAGAUAAAAGGAAACCCCAAAAGAGGGGUCAGGUAGAGAGCGCACGAAGCAAGAGACUUGAAAAGCUUAUAACAGGGACCAAAGGCUUUCUUCGGUGAUCCCAUCAUUGUAAAUACAAGAUAAAGACAGAAAGUGGAAGAAAGACAACCAGCAACAAGAUGGAUACAAUCAUAGAAAUCAUAAGUGCAUUAACAAGAAACCUGAAGAUCCGGACAGGAGAAAUGACACUGGGGAGUAACGCUAUUCAGAUGCCAGCAAGACUGCACAUGAUCAUGUACGAAAUAGGGGUGCC